AUUCACUAAGAGAAAAGAUUACAAGGUGAUUACCGACUUCACGGACUCAACCUCUCUUUACCUCCUAUGAAUCUCGCGCAAUCCUCCGGGUUGUCCACGCCCUCACGUUCGAAUCCAUGAACGCCACGUUCCGAAUCCACGAAACGCACACACUUCGAAUCCACGAAGCCUUGAUCACGCCAAAUCCACGACGCCUCUUGAAUCCACGAGUUCACGAUCCGAAUCCACGAACCGCCUUCGUUCACACCGAAUCCACGACGCCGAUCAU
rnacentral:lncRNA from 1 species